AAGAAUUCUGCAAGGAUGACCUCUGUCCUUGCAGAGGCAGAAAGGAAUCAGACCUUCAACAACUAAGGACCCUAAGAAGAAUAUAAUUGCAAGGCCACAGUAUCAAGAGACAAGCUAUACAGGCUCCACAAGAUCACCACACAAGGGAAAUGUUUCGCCCACUGGAGAAGAGGCGUUGUGAAGGAGAACCGGGGGCCCUAGCUGAGGAUCAGCACCCACCGCCAUAGGUGUGGAUGAAGCCAUUUCAGCUUUACCUGCUUACACAAUCAUUCAGCUAAAUGCAGCCACAAGAGUGAGCCAAGGAAAGCCAGAAAAGAAUGUGCUCAGGCAACCCAGAGAAUCCUACAUCAUCUGUUUAGUCCACUAAAUUGUGAGGGUGAUUUAAUCACUAGCAAAAUCUGACUGAUCCACUGAAGUUUAAAAAAAUACAUCAAUAAAGACUCAAAUAAUUCUCCAAAAUAUAUCAUAACUCCUAAAAUCUUCUAUAGGUUGAGAACUGUUUCCUAUUUGAGGGAGAAAAUUUAAAAAUUUGGGCUCAGAGCAGGAAAGACCAUGUCAAAAAAAGAAAAAACAAUAACGAGCAGACUUGGCAUGAAAUGAAUACAGAAUCUUGCAUUAUUUAUUCAAGAACCUGUGCAUACGUUUUCAAAACUAAGACAGAAUCUGUGAAAAUCUGACUGAAGUGACAGUCACAUCUCUUUCUAGGUUUUUUUUUUCUUUAUGCUUUAUUGUAUAUAUUUAAGAUGUACAACGUGAUUUUUUGAUAUGCCCACACAUUGUGAAAUGGUUACUAUAGUCAAGCCAAUUAACAUAUUCCUCAUCUCACAUAGUUACCCCUUUUUUGUGGCAAGAACACCUAAAAUCUAUUCCAUUAGCAAAACUCCCAAAUAUUAUACAAUACAAUAUCAUUAACUACAGUCCUUAUAUUGUACAUUAAUUAGAUCCCUAGACUUGUUCAUCCAAAUAUCCCCAGUUUGUAUCCUUUGAGCUACAUCUCCCCACUUCUUUCCCUCAACCUCUCCAUAACAGCCAUUUUACUGUUUUAUUUUUAUGCAUUAGGCUUCAUUUUAAUUCCGCAUAUAAGUGAUUGUGCAGUAUUUUAUUUUCCAUUUUUUUCUUCUUGUGUCUGGUUUAUUUGCCUUAUCAUAAUGUCCUCUAUGUUCAUCUACAGUGUGGCAAAUGGCAGCAUCUCCUCUUCUUUGUUUUUUAAGGCUUAAUAAUAUUCCAUUAUACAAAUACACUCACACACACACGUACAUAUAUAAGCACUCAUCACUUACAUAUCUCACAUUUUCUUUAUCCAUUCAUCUGUUGAUGGACACUUUGUUUCCUUAUGUUGGAUACCAUGAAUAGCAUUGCAGUGAACAUGACAGCGCACAUAUUUUUACAAGAUGGUGAUGAUAUUUCCAUUGGGGAUAUAUCCAGAAGAGGGAUUCUUGGGUCAUAUGGUAGCUGUAUUUUUAAUUUCUUUAAGAAUUUCCAUACUGUUUUCCACUAUAUCUGUACUGGUCUAUCUUGUCUUUUUGAUAACAGUCAUUCUGAUAGGUAUGAGGUGAUAUCUCAUUGUGGUUUUUAUUUGCAUUUCCUUCAAAACUAAUGAUGUUGAGCACCUUUUCUUAUGCCUCCUGGCCAUUUUUAUGUCUUCUUUAAAGAAAUAUCUAUCAUAUCUUUUGCCUAUUUUUAAAUUAGAUUAUUUAUUUUUUCUUCCAUUAAGUAGUGUGAAUUAUUUAUAUAUUUUUGGUAUUAACCCCUUAUAGGAUAUAGGAUUUGCAAACAUUAUCUCUCAAUCUGUAGGCUGGCUUUUAAUUUUUUUAAUUGUUCCUUUUACUAGUUUGAUGUAGUCCCAUUUAUUUAUUUUUGCUUUUAUAGCCUAAGUUUUUGGUGGGGUAGCCAAAAAAUCCUUGGUAAGGCUAAUGUCAAGGAUCUUUUCCCCUAUAUUUUCUUCUAGGAAUUUUAUGGUUUCAGGUCUCACAUUUACAGUUCUACCUAUUUUGAGUUGAUUUCUGUGUAUAGUGUAAAAUUAAGGGUACAGUUUCAUUCUUUUGCAUGUGGAAAUCCAGCUUUCUCAACAUCAUUUAUUGUAGAGAUUAUCCUUUCCCCAUUGUGUCUUCUUGGUGCCCUUAUCAGAAAUUAGUUGGCCAUAUAUAAUUGGGUUUAUUUCUGGGCUCUCUAUUCUGUUCCUUUGGUCUAUGUGUCUGUUUUUAUGCCAGUAUCAUAUUGUUUGAAUUACUGUAUCUUUGUAAUUAAUUUGAAAUCAGAAAGUGAAAUCUAUGAAGUGUGAUUGCACUUUCCAAUUAGAAAUUAUAUUACAAAGCUACAGUAAUAACUUUUUUUCCUCAAAAUUGCCUUGACAGUUCAGAGUCUUUUGUGGUCCCAUACAAAUUUUAGAAUUGUUUUUUCUGUUUCUGUGAAGAAUGCCGUUAGAAUUUUAAUAGGGAUUGUAUUGAUUCUGUACAUUGUUUCAGGUAGUAUGGACAUUUUAACAAUAGGGAUCUUUUUUUAUGUCGGCAAACAAAACACAUUUAUUUUACAUAUUUGUAGCAUACAAGAUUAAUCAAGAGAUGUAGAAGAGGGUCAUUAUGAAGAAAAAUGUACUUACUAUGUGAAUCAUUCAGUAGAGUAGAAAGAUCAAAUUCUUCUCUUCAGAAUAUUCUGAUAG